rnacentral:rRNA from 1 species
AGCAGUAGCCGCGGGAAUACGGAAGGUCCAGGCGUUAUCCGGAUUUAUUGGGUUUAAAGGGAGUGCAGGCGGUCUGUUAAGCGUGUUGUGAAAUUUAGGUGCUCAACAUUUAACUUGCAGCGCGAACUGGCGGACUUGGGUGCACGCAACGUAUGCGGAAUUCAUGGUGUAGCGGUGAAAUGCUUAGAUAUCAUGACGAACUCCGAUUGCGAAGGCAGCGUACGGGAGUGUUACUGGCGCUUAAGCUCGAAGGUGCGGGUAUCGAACAGGAUUAGAUACCCGCGUAGUCCCUGUCUCUUAUAA